UGCAGUCGAACGGAAAGGCCCUUCGGGGUACUCGAGUGGCGAACGGGUGAGUAACACGUGGGUGAUCUGCCCUGCACUCUGGGAUAAGCCUGGGAAACUGGGUCUAAUACCGGAUAGGACCACACACUUCAUGGUGAGUGGUGCAAAGCUUUUGCGGUGUGGGAUGAGCCCGCGGCCUAUCAGCUUGUUGGUGGGGUAAUGGCCCACCAAGGCGACGACGGGUAGCCGGCCUGAGAGGGUGACCGGCCACACUGGGACUGAGAUACGGCCCAGACUCCUACGGGAGGCAGCAGUGGGGAAUAUUGCACAAUGGGCGCAAGCCUGAUGCAGCGACGCCGCGUGAGGGAUGACGGCCUUCGGGUUGUAAACCUCUUUCAGUAGGGACGAAGCGAAAGUGACGGUACCUACAGAAGAAGGACCGGCCAACUACGUGCCAGCAGCCGCGGUAAUACGUAGGGUCCGAGCGUUGUCCGGAAUUACUGGGCGUAAAGAGCUCGUAGGUGGUUUGUCGCGUUGUUCGUGAAAACUCACAGCUUAACUGUGGGCGUGCGGGCGAUACGGGCAGACUAGAGUACUGCAGGGGAGACUGGAAUUCCUGGUGUAGCGGUGGAAUGCGCAGAUAUCAGGAGGAACACCGGUGGCGAAGGCGGGUCUCUGGGCAGUAACUGACGCUGAGGAGCGAAAGCGUGGGUAGCGAACAGGAUUAGAUACCCUGGUAGUCCACGCCGUAAACGGUGGGUACUAGGUGUGGGUUUCCUUCCUUGGGAUCCGUGCCGUAGCUAACGCAUUAAGUACCCCGCCUGGGGAGUACGGUCGCAAGACUAAAACUCAAAGGAAUUGACGGGGGCCCG
rnacentral:rRNA from 1 species